CAGAGGUCCCCGAAGGGACAAGCCCUGUACCUCAAAUCCCUGCCCACAUACCUGGGGUCCCAUCUUUGAGAAAGCCUAUAGAUUCUGAACUUUACUCACUCCCUUUUCAUCUUAGGAACCUGAAAAUAUUCCAGUUCAACAUCAAUAAAUGCUUUAACAGGAAGAAGACACUGACUGAUCCAGGGCGUAUGAGUAGCACACCUGUGAGCAAGAGUCCCAGAGCACUGGGUAGAGCAGCAGAUGCCAGGAAAAUCCCUAGAGUGGAAUGAAAAAAUACCGAAAAGUAAAAGAGCUUUGCAUGUCCCAGGAAGACCAGCAAGGAAGCCACCGCCUUUGAAAAGAUGGUUCCAGGACAGGAGUCUUUUCAACUGAGAACAGAAGAGACCUUUUCUGCCUUGGAGAGAGAACCCAGCACUUUGUUUAUCUCACAUGUUGUAAUCAAUAUUUAUUGAGCCAUAACCAUCUGGCUUUUACUGUCACUCUGGGGUUGAGUUUCAUGAGUAACUAACUCCCUCUUCCACUGGCUGCAGAAGUAAUGACUCUAUACAUGUCUGGCAGUGGAUCAUUCAUCUAAGUGUAGGAAAAUGAGCAAUUUCAAGGAAAAGCUGGCAUCUCCAUUUGAGUGAAUCAAUGACCAGCUAAAGUGUGGUUCCUUAAAAUGCAGAAGGCUCUCCUCAGCCAACUGGCUUCUUUUGAAAGAUGAGGCCUGAAGCCACCCACAUGCAUCUUAAAUGUGCAUGUUACACCUAAUUACAGUUUUCUUGAGAGUCCAUGCAUCUGAGUACUCCCUAACUAAGGAACAAAGUCAUAAAAACAAUCCUCCAGAAAUAAAGUGGUUUUAUCUUGUUCUACAGAAAGUAUGUUCCAAGAGCUUUUGUGGAGAAAGGUAAAGAUUGAGCCUGAAAACUUGGAGAUUAAGUGGAUGCUGGUUCAUGACUGACAGUGCUACUUGCCUGAGGCUGCUUCUCAUCACAAGGUCCCAGGCAUUGAGGAUGACCAAGUACCAUGAUAGCAGAAUUCCCCUAAAUUUCUAUAUGUCCUUUUUUGACUCAUCCUAUGUGCACCUACCUUCUAUUAUAACAUCUAGAAUCCAGACAGCUUUUAUUUUCUUCAGAAAGGAUCCUUCUUAACUACCUACUUAUACUCAAGCAUCAGAAAGUCCUUCCUUUGUUCAUUUACUCACUCAAUGUUAGUGUGCAAACCACUGGGCUAAAAGCCAUAGACAACUACAGAAAGCAGAUUGUUUAAAAUAUAUGUUAUAUGAAAAGGACGAGGUAAGAAUUCACACCAUUCCUUUGACCUAGAGCUCACACUUUCUCUUUUAUAGUCUUCAAUAUUUAAACACAAGUUGGAAGAUACUUCCUGCUAGAGGCCUGCCCUGAAUCCACCCUCUCUGGCUUAGAUGUCUUUCCUACAUGCUAUUAAAAUGCAUAUCUAGAGCACUGCACUGAUUAGCUCUUAUGUGCCUAUCUGUUCCCUGCAACUGGACCAUGUGAUUUAAAGACAGAAGCACUGUCGUAUUUGUCUCCAUAUUCCUGAUAUUCAAUAUAGGGCCUGGCAUGUUGUGCUCAUUACAUAGUUUUGAAUGGAUGGAUAGAAAACUAUAAAAGGAAAAUCAUAGGAAGUUAUAGAACAGAAAAAUGAGUAAGUAUUCAUUCUAACAAAGUUAAAAAAGAAAAUUUUUAUGGAGGAGAUAAUAUUUAAGCAAAGCACUGAAGCAUGAUCAGGAUGUCCAGAAUUCAAAAAGAUCUAGGGCUUGGGGAAAGGGGUGGUACACAGAGGAUUACUUUCCAUAGCCUGAUUCUUUCCACCUCUAAUUUGUUACUUUAAACAUAAUCUUUCAUAUACCCUAAUUUUAACCAAGUUUUUUCUGUUUUCUUGUGAAGGACCUUCAGUGAUUCCUUACUAACAUAAUAAUAUUCAAGUAGGUUAGCUUGCACUUGAAGGGUCUUCUUAUUAUUAUCCAACGUUUAUCCCUAACUCUUAACAUCCAUUUGGGGCCAUUCUACACAAAUCAGGCCAAUCUGUCCUCUACUCCCCAAGGUCUUGCUUGACAUCAUCUCAUUAUUCAUCCCUGGCCUGAGAAGCUUUGCCCUACCUUUUUGCCAUUUAUAACAUAGCUUCAUCUUUGAAAAUCCUGUCCCCUUCAGUAACCCUCCCUUUUCCAUGCUACAAGGCCAUCAUCUCUAGAAACUGAUUGUACAAUGUGCUUGUACCCUGUAAACAUACGCUAUGGUUUCUAACUGUAAAUUUUCUCUGUCUGUCUUGUGAGAUGCCCAUAAUUGCAUCUACAGGCUGGGGUAAUAGAUGGGGUCUUGUUGUAACAUGUACAGUGUCUUAGCAAAGGUUCUGUGAACUAACAGUCCUCACCAACUAAAACUAUCCUGAUAGGAUAGAGGAAGUGUUUUUUUUUUCAAGCAGAAACUUCAUUAUUUAGCUUCCAGAAGAUAGAGGCUACUUAUAGUAGAUUUAAGACUUAGUUCAGUGAAAAGAAUGAAAAUUUUACUAUCAGUUUGUCUAGAAAUCCCUAACUUUGUCUGUUAUAAAAUAAUUUCCCUUCCUAAACUGGUGUGUUCUUACACAGCAGGGUGUCCAUAGAUAAUGGCAGUGUGCUGUGUAUUUCAGAAAAAGCUGCAAGA